UUUGAGCAUUUGAAUUGAGCUAUAAGUCAUUAGCGAAAUCUUGAUUUUAUCACAGGAAAUAAUAAUAAUAGUAAUAUUCGGUUUUCGUUUUAUCCCGUGGCCGGUAUACGGUUAACGUGAGCCUCAAAUUCUGGCCACAAGAAGGGACCAUAUUCCGCGCACGUUAGACACUUGUCCGCCUGCUACCGCUUCUGUCUCUUCCUUCCUCUAGAAGAGGAGAGACUUUGGUGUUCUGCUUGUUGGCUAUGGCUUCCUUGCAACUUUAGAAACCCGCCUUCUCUUCACGUUCGCUUUCUCAAUCCAAUUUUACCAGAAAAUGGAGCGAUCUAUGGCCCUCAACAGUCAACAGCCAAGGCCUUGAGGGAUUGGUCCCUCGGGCUAAAGUGCCGUUGACACUUGGAGGAACAUUUUUCUUGAAAUUUUGGCCAUUGAUCCUCAUAAGUCAUAACUGUGGCAUCUUUUUCUGCUCUCUACUUUAUAAGCAAUUUGACUUGACCAUCUUUCUUAUUUGAACAAGAAAACUUUAUAGAGCAUUACUUGAGUGUGUGAAACAUGUUGCCCUCACUAACUUAAUGCAGUUUGUGCAUGAUGGGAGUAAGAUGCAGCUGUUAUGUGGAUCCAUAUGAACUCCUCGACGAAGACUCUAAAUCCCAGUUUACAUACAUAGCUCUUAGCUAAGAAUCUAGCUCCAUGUUGAUUUAUUUCCUUUUAUAAUGUAUAUGAAUCACAUUUACAUAAAUAGCUGGAAUUGAAAUUUGAAAUAUAAGCAAGCAAAAUUGGCAGAAAUCUAGAUGUCUCCCCGGAAGAAGGGAGCAGAGAGGAAGGAAGAGGAGAAAGUGCCGCCGCCGUUGGGGAAGAG